AAAGAUUUGAGUUCAGUUCAGGGCAGCUUCCCUGUUCUAUUAAUUAAACUUUGGGACAUUGAAACACAGGCUAGGAGGGAUGGAAAGCAUUACUCUAUUCAUAUACCGCCUAGCCUACAGAU
rnacentral:snoRNA from 1 species